GACAGAGGUGCCAAGCGUUAGGCGGAAUUACUGGGCGUAAAGCGUGCGCAGGCGGUUCGUUAAGUCAGAUGUGAAAGCCCCGGGCUCAACCUGGGAACUGCAUUUGAAACUGGCGGGCUUGAGUGUGGCAGAGGGGGUGGAAUUCCGCGUGUAGCAGUGAAAUGCGUAGAGAUGCGGAGGAACACCGAUGGCGAAGGCAGCCCCCUGGGCCAACACUGACGCUCAGGCACGAAAGCGUGGGGAGCAAACAGG
rnacentral:rRNA from 1 species